GAUAACUUUAAAACCCUAAAACCCAGAUUCGGCUCCAGGGAACACACAUUCGCUCCAUAAGAUGCACAGACAUUUCCCCUUACUUUUGAGGAGGAAAAAAGUGUGUCUUAUGGAGCAAAAAAUACGGUAAGUUGUUUUUAAGUGUAGGGAAAAAACACUGACCUAUCAGCUUCUCCUAAUUACAUCUGAAAAAGAUGUAGUCACACUGCAUAAAUCAACAAGGCAAGGAGAAACAACAUCACUACAAGGAAUAUGAGCUACUUGUGCCAGAUGUAGCAGGUGCAGUUGAUG